rnacentral:rRNA from 1 species
UACAGGGGGGGCAAGCGUUGUUCGGAAUUACUGGGCGUAAAGGGCCAGUAGGCGGCUAACUAAGUCCGACGUGAAAUCCCCAGGCUUAACCUGGGAACUGCGUCGGAUACUGGUUGGCUUGAAUUCGGGAGAGGGAUGCAGAAUUCCAGGUGUAGCGGUGAAAUGCGUAGAUAUCGUAAGGAAGACCAGUGGCGAAGGGCGGGUCUCUGGACAGUUCCUGACGCUGAGGGCACGA